GCUAUUCCAGGUAUCUACUACCCUUUCUAUAUCACUGUCACUGCUCCCACUGGAAGGCUAUUCCAGGUAUCUACUACCCUUUCUAUAUCACUUACUGCUCCCACUGGAAGGCUAUUCCAGGUAUCUACUACUCUUUCUAUAUCACUGUUACUGCUCACACUGGAAGGCUAUUCCAGGUAUCUACUACCCUUUCUAUAUCAUUGUUACUGCUCCCACUGGAGGGCUAUUCCAGGUAUCUACUACCAUUUCUAUAUCACUGUUACUGCAUCCCACUGGAAGGCUAUUCCAGGUAUCUACUACCCUUUCUAUAUCACUGUUACUGCAUCCCACUGGAGGGCUAUUCCAGGUAUCUAUUACUCUUACUAUAUCACUGUUACUGCUCCCACUGGAAGGCUAUUCCAGGUAUCUACUACCCUCUCUAUAUCACUGUUACUGCAUCCCACUGGAAGGCUAUUCCAGGUAUCUGCUACCCUUUCUAUAUCACUGUUACUGCUUCCACUGGAAGGCUAUUCCAGGUAUCUACUACCCUUUCUAUAUCACUGUUACUGCUCCCACUGAAAGGCUAUUCCAGGUAUCUACUACCCUUUCUAUAUCACUGUUACUGUUCCCACUGGAAGGCUAUUCCAGGUAUCUACUACCCUUUCUAUAUCACUGUUACUGCUCCCACUGGAAG